rnacentral:tRNA from 1 species
GGAGGGUUAGCUCAGUAGGGAGAGCACUUGCUUGACGUGCAAGGGGUCGCUGGUUCGAGCCCAGUACUCUCCACCA